AGCGAACGCUGGCGGCAGGCUUAACACAUGCAAGUCGAGCGGGCACUUUCGGGUGUCCGCGGCGGACGGGUGAGUAACGCGUGGGAACGUGCCCUCUGGUUCGGAAUAACUCAGGGAAACUUGAGCUAAUACCGGAUACGCCCUUUUGGGGAAAGGCUUGCUGCCGGAGGAUCGGCCCGCGUCUGAUUAGCUAGUUGGUGGGGUAACGGCUCACCAAGGCGACGAUCAGUAGCUGGUCUGAGAGGAUGAUCAGCCACACUGGGACUGAGACACGGCCCAGACUCCUACGGGAGGCAGGAGUGGGGAAUAUUGGACAAUGGGCGCAAGCCUGAUCCAGCCAUGCCGCGUGAGUGAUGAAGGCCUUAGGGUUGUAAAGCUCUUUUAUCCGGGACGAUAAUGACGGUACCGGAGGAAUAAGCCCCGGCUAACUUCGUG
rnacentral:rRNA from 1 species